UAUAAAUAUGACAUAAAAUUUGAUGAGGACAAAUUUACGUUGCCUAGGCUCUGAGUUUCAAGCUAUAGAAUAAAAACGAAAUUGACCCAAUGUGUCAAUUAACGCAAAUUAUUGUGUGCAUACCAUGCGACGGGUUUACCCGACCCAUAUAGAGAUCCAACCCGGCCCGCACUCUUCCCCACCCUGAACUUUAAUUUUCGGUGCACUCUCUUUUCUCUCUCUUUUUUCCUUUUCUCCCUCAAACGGUCAAACCUUUCUCUUUUCCUCUCUCCCCUCGACUCCUUCCACGCCGCCAUGUCCACCUGCACUUCUACCGCUUUUUCCGUCUGCCGCCGCCUAUCCCCACACCCUCCCUUCUAUCUCUCGCCGUCUCUCCAAGAAACCGUGGUACCAUUGAAUCCCGAUCUGAGGUAGAGAAGGUCAGCCUCGCCCCCACUCCAACGAUUAAUUGCGAUCUGAGGUAGAGUUUGGCAUGAGGUGCCUAUUCUUGUUAUUCUGGUUCGCGUGCAAGCAGUUCUGGCCAAUUUUUAGUGGGGACUGUGGUUUUACUUUUGAGUUAGGAGAGGAGUUGUUAUAUAUGUGUUUAGAUAUUUAAUUGUGAUAUAUAUGAUGUAUACUUAGCUUAAACAAGAAUGUGAAAAUGACGAAUUUUGUAUUAAUGUACAGAGGGAGUCGGAUCAUUUUGCUCAAUUUGUUAACUUUUUCUCAUGAUUUUUGUUGAAUUGGAGCAUGGUUGUUUCCUGCUUC